rnacentral:rRNA from 1 species
GAUGAACGCUGGCGGCGUGCCUAAUACAUGCAAGUCGAGCGAAAAGAUAAGGAGCUUGCUCCUUUGACGGUAGCGGCGGACGGGUGAGUAACACGUCGGUAACCUACCUAUAGGACUGGAAUAACUACGGGAAACCGGGGCCAAUGCCGGAUAACACUUAGAACCGGAUGGGUCUAAAGUGAAAGAUGGGUGUGCUAUCACUUAUAGAUGGAUCCGCGCCGUAUUGGCUAGUUGGUAAGGUAACGGCUUACCAAGGCGACGAUACGUAGCCGACGUGAGAGAGUGAUCGGCCACACUGGAACUGGGACACGGUCCAUACUCCUACGGGAGGCAGCAGUAGGGAAUCUUCCGCAAUGGGCGGAAGCCUGGCGGAGCGACGCCGCGUGAGUGAUGAAGGUCUUCGGAUCGUAAAACUGUGUUAUGAGGGAAGAACCAAUGUGUAAGUAACUGUGCACGUCUUGACGGUAGCUAAUCAGAAAGCCCCGGCUAACUACGUG